GCUGAGGAGUCCCAUAAUAGGGCGAAACGGCCGUCC
rnacentral:hammerhead_ribozyme from 1 species